GCUCCCGUAGUUUAAUGGAUAGAAUGCGUGGUUCCGGUCCUCGUGAUAGGGGUUCGAAUCCCUUCGGGAGCA
rnacentral:tRNA from 3 species